AUUGAACGCUGGCGGCAGGCCUAACACAUGCAAGUCGAACGGUAGCACAGAGGAGCUUGCUCCUUGGGUGACGAGUGGCGGACGGGUGAGUAAUGUCUGGGAGACUGCCCGAUGGAGGGGGAUAACUACUGGAAACGGUAGCUAAUACCGCAUAACGUCGCAAGACCAAAGAGGGGGACCUUCGGGCCUCUUGCCAUCGGAUGUGCCCAGAUGGGAUUAGCUAGUAGGUGGGGUAACGGCUCACCUAGGCGACGAUCCCUAGCUGGUCUGAGAGGAUGACCAGCCACACUGGAACUGAGACACGGUCCAGACUCCUACGGGAGGCAGCAGUGGGGAAUAUUGCACAAUGGGCGCAAGCCUGAUGCAGCCAUGCCGCGUGUAUGAAGAAGGCCUUCGGGUUGUAAAGUACUUUCAGCGAGGAGGAAGGCGUUGUGGUUAAUAACCGCAACGAUUGACGUUACUCGCAGAAGAAGCACCGGCUAACUCCGUGCCAGCCGCCGCGGUAAAAGGG
rnacentral:rRNA from 1 species